rnacentral:misc_RNA from 1 species
CAUUCUUCUAUAUAACCACCAGUUGAG